rnacentral:tRNA from 1 species
GCGAGUGUGGUUCAGUGGCAGAAUGGUUCCUUCCCAAGGAACAGAUGGGGGUUCGAUUCCCCUCACUCGCU